rfam:Salmo salar isolate Sally breed double haploid chromosome ssa05, whole genome shotgun sequence.
UGCAUUCACUACUGUAAGUUGCUCUGGAUAAGAGUGUCUGCCAAAUGACUGAAA